UUUGCUGGGACGUAGAACUCAGUGUGCAUUGUGCCGUAGUCUCGCUACGUUCUCUGACUAACAAAACAAAAUCUAUCAAAAUGAACAAACUCUUCAUCGUUCUAUUGGCUGUCUGCCUUGUCAGCGUUAACGCUUUCGUGAAAAGGGAUGCUCCCGAAGGCGCUACUGAACAGAAUUACCUGGAAAAGCUACAAAAGGAUUUGAAAGGUUUAAGUGACCAGUUCGGAGCUCAAGUUUCCAAGGCCUUUGACCCUGAAGCCAUUAAAAAGGGAUUCGAUGAAGCUGUUAAAAAAGCCGGCGAGUUUUCCGACCAAGUGAAAAAUGCGUUUGAAAACAAACCUGCGAAGGCUGCCUAAAGACUGAGUAAUCGAGAGUAAACAUUCCAAAUCAUUUAUCAUACUGUUAUUCAUAUUAUAUAUAUGCUCACAUAUAUUGGCACGACUUGAGGCCAUCAACAAAUCUGUAUUAAUUUUUCGUUACACGUUAAUACGAAAUAGAAUUUUAUAAAUA